rnacentral:rRNA from 1 species
AGUGGCGGACGGGUGAGUAACGCGUGAGAAUCUGCCUUGGGGUCGGGGACAACCACUGGAAACGGUGGCUAAUACCGGAUAAUCCGAUUGGUGAAAGAUUUAUUGCCCGAAGAGGAGCUCGCGUCUGAUUAGCUAGUUGGUGAGGUAAGAGCUCACCAAGGCAGCGAUCAGUAGCUGGUCUGAGAGGACGAUCAGCCACACUGGGACUGAGACACGGCCCAGACUCCUACGGGAGGCAGCAGUGGGGAAUUUUCCGCAAUGGGCGAAAGCCUGACGGAGCAAGACCGCGUGAGGGAGGAAGGCUCUUGGGUUGUAAACCUCUUUUCUCAGGGAAGAAGCUCUGACGGUACCUGAGGAAUCAGCCUCGGCUAACUCCGUGCCAGCAGCCGCGGUAAUACGGAGGAGGCAAGCGUUAUCCGGAAUUAUUGGGCGUAAAGCGUCCGCAGGUGGCGAUUCAAGUCUGCUGUCAAAGCACGGGGCUUAACUCCGUAAAGGCAGUGGAAACUGAAUAGCUAGAGUGCCGUAGGGGUAGAGGGAAUUCCCGGUGUAGCGGUGAAAUGCGUAGAGAUCGGGAAGAACAUCGGUGGCGAAAGCGCUCUACUGGACGGCAACUGACACUCAGGGACGAAAGCUAGGGGAGCGAAUGGGAUUAGAUACCCC